GGAUGAACGCUGGCGGCGUGCCUAAUACAUGCAAGUCGAGCGAACAGAUGAGGAGCUUGCUCCUCUGACGUUAGCGGCGGACGGGUGAGUAACACGUGGAUAACCUACCUAUAAGACUGGGAUAACUUCGGGAAACCGGAGCUAAUACCGGAUAAUAUAUUGAACCGCAUGGUUCAAUAGUGAAAGACGGUUUUGCUGUCACUUAUAGAUGGAUCCGCGCCGCAUUAGCUAGUUGGUAAGGUAACGGCUUACCAAGGCAACGAUGCGUAGCCGACCUGAGAGGGUGAUCGGCCACACUGGAACUGAGACACGGUCCAGACCCCUACGGGAGGCAGCAGUAGGGAAUCUUCCGCAAUGGGCGAAAGCCUGACGGAGCAACGCCGCGUGAGUGAUGAAGGUCUUCGGAUCGUAAAACUCUGUUAUUAGGGAAGAACAAAUGUGUAAGUAACUAUGCACGUCUUGACGGUACCUAAUCAGAAAGCCACGGCUAACUACGUG
rnacentral:rRNA from 1 species